GCAGCAAUGUGCUGAGUGGUAAGGUGGAGGGCUCGUAACCAAAAGGUUGCUGGUUCAUAUCCCUGCUGGGGCA